rnacentral:rRNA from 1 species
UUAAGCGACUAAGCGUACACGGUGGAUGCCCUGGCAGUCAGAGGCGAUGAAGGGCGUGCUAAUCUGCGAUAAGCGCCGGUAAGGUGAUAUGAACCGUUAUAACCGGCGAUACCCGAAUGGGGAAACCCAGUGUGACUCGUCACACUAUCAUUAACUGAAUCCAUAGGUUAAUGAGGCGAACCGGGGGAACUGAAACAUCUAAGUACCCCGAGGAAAAGAAAUCAACCGAGAUUCCCCCAGUAGCGGCGAGCGAACGGGGAGGAGCCCAGAGCCUGAAUCAGCAUGUGUGUUAGUGGAAGCGUCUGGAAAGGCGCGCGAUACAGGGUGACAGCCCCGUACACAAAAGCGCAUGUGCUGUGAGCUCGAUGAGUAGGGCGGGACACGUGGUAUCCUGUCUGAAUAUGGGGGGACCAUCCUCCAAGGCUAAAUACUCCUGACUGACCGAUAGUGAACCAGUACCGUGAGGGAAAGGCGAAAAGAACCCCGGCGAGGGGAGUGAAAAAGAACCUGAAACCGUGUACGUACAAGCAGUGGGAGCCCCACCACUAAGCCAGUGGUGAACUCCACAUACGCAUCCUUUGCUGAGGAUACGGUUAACGGAGCGAAAGCGACGUUCAACCGCAAAAGAAGCAGAGGGGGCUUAGUGGUGGGGUGACUGCGUACCUUUUGUAUAAUGGGUCAGCGACUUAUAUUCUGUAGCAAGGUUAACCGAAUAGGGGAGCCGGAGGGAAACCGAGUCUUAAUUGGGCGUUAAGUUGCAGGGUAUAGACCCGAAACCCGGUGAUCUAGCCAUGGGCAGGUUGAAGGUUGGGUAACACUAACUGGAGGACCGAACCGACUAAUGUUGAAAAAUUAGCGGAUGACCUGUGGCUGGGGGUGAAAGGCCAAUCAAACCGGGAGAUAGCUGGUUCUCCCCGAAAGCUAUUUAGGUAGCGCCUCGUGAACUCAUCUCCGGGGGUAGAGCACUGUUUCGGCUAGGGGGCCAUCCCGGCUUACCAACCCGAUGCAAACUGCGAAUACCGGAGAAUGUUAUCACGGGAGACACACGGCGGGUGCUAACGUCCGUCGUGAAGAGGGAAACAACCCAGACCGCCAGCUAAGGUCCCAAAGUCAUGGUUAAGUGGGAAACGAUGUGGGAAGGCCCAGACAGCCAGGAUGUUGGCUUAGAAGCAGCCAUCAUUUAAAGAAAGCGUAAUAGCUCACUGGUCGAGUCGGCCUGCGCGGAAGAUGUAACGGGGCUAAACCAUGCACCGAAGCUGCGGCAGCGAACGUAUCACUUAAAGCGAUUCAGCGGGUUACGAUUGACGGAGCGAAGCGACGUCAAAGCGUAUACAAAGUCGAGUCGGUUUAAGGAUACGUUCGUUGGGUAGGGGAGCGUUCUGUAAGCCUGUGAAGGUGGCCUGUGAGGGUUGCUGGAGGUAUCAGAAGUGCGAAUGCUGACAUAAGUAACGAUAAAGCGGGUGAAAAGCCCGCUCGCCGGAAGACCAAGGGUUCCUGUCCAACGUUAAUCGGGGCAGGGUGAGUCGACCCCUAAGGCGAGGCCGAAAGGCGUAGUCGAUGGGAAACGGGUUAAUAUUCCCGUACUUGGUGUUACUGCGAAGGGGGGACGGAGAAGGCUAUGUUGGCCGGGCGACGGUUGUCCCGGUUUAAGCGUGUAGGCUGGUUUUCCAGGCAAAUCCGGAAAAUCAAGGCUGAGGCGUGACGACGAGGCACUACGGUGCUGAAGCAACAAAUGCCCUGCUUCCAGGAAAAGCCUCUAAGCAUCAGGUAACAUCAAAUCGUACCCCAAACCGACACAGGUGGUCAGGUAGAGAAUACCAAGGCGCUUGAGAGAACUCGGGUGAAGGAACUAGGCAAAAUGGUGCCGUAACUUCGGGAGAAGGCACGCUGACACGUAGGUGAAGUGAUUUACUCAUGGAGCUGAAGUCAGUCGAAGAUACCAGCUGGCUGCAACUGUUUAUUAAAAACACAGCACUGUGCAAACACGAAAGUGGACGUAUACGGUGUGACGCCUGCCCGGUGCCGGAAGGUUAAUUGAUGGGGUCAGCGCAAGCGAAGCUCCUGAUCGAAGCCCCGGUAAACGGCGGCCGUAACUAUAACGGUCCUAAGGUAGCGAAAUUCCUUGUCGGGUAAGUUCCGACCUGCACGAAUGGCGUAAUGAUGGCCAGGCUGUCUCCACCCGAGACUCAGUGAAAUUGAACUCGCUGUGAAGAUGCAGUGUACCCGCGGCAAGACGGAAAGACCCCGUGAACCUUUACUAUAGCUUGACACUGAACAUUGAGCCUUGAUGUGUAGGAUAGGUGGGAGGCUUUGAAGUGUGGACGCCAGUCUGCAUGGAGCCGACCUUGAAAUACCACCCUUUAAUGUUUGAUGUUCUAACGUGGACCCGUUACCCGGGUUGCGGACAGUGUCUGGUGGGUAGUUUGACUGGGGCGGUCUCCUCCUAAAGAGUAACGGAGGAGCACGAAGGUUGGCUAAUCCUGGUCGGACAUCAGGAGGUUAGUGCAAUGGCAUAAGCCAGCUUGACUGCGAGCGUGACGGCGCGAGCAGGUGCGAAAGCAGGUCAUAGUGAUCCGGUGGUUCUGAAUGGAAGGGCCAUCGCUCAACGGAUAAAAGGUACUCCGGGGAUAACAGGCUGAUACCGCCCAAGAGUUCAUAUCGACGGCGGUGUUUGGCACCUCGAUGUCGGCUCAUCACAUCCUGGGGCUGAAGUAGGUCCCAAGGGUAUGGCUGUUCGCCAUUUAAAGUGGUACGCGAGCUGGGUUUAGAACGUCGUGAGACAGUUCGGUCCCUAUCUGCCGUGGGCGCUGGAGAACUGAGGGGGGCUGCUCCUAGUACGAGAGGACCGGAGUGGACGCAUCACUGGUGUUCGGGUUGUCAUGCCAAUGGCACUGCCCGGUAGCUAAAUGCGGAAGAGAUAAGUGCUGAAAGCAUCUAAGCACGAAACUUGCCCCGAGAUGAGUUCUCCCUGAGACUUAGAGUCUCCUGAAGGAACGUUGAAGACGACGACGUUGAUAGGCCGGGUGUGUAAGCGCAGCGAUGCGUUGAGCUAACCGGUACUAAUGAACCGUGAGGCUUAACCUU